rnacentral:rRNA from 1 species
GGUGAGCAUGUGGUUUAAUUCGAAGAUACACGAAGAACCUUACCUGGCCUUGACAUGGUAGGAACCCUUAAGAGAUUAGGGGUGCUAGCUUGCUAGAACCUACACACAGGUGCUGCACGGCUGUCGUCAGCUCGUGUCGUGAGAUGUUGGGUUAAGUCCCGCAACGAGCGCAACCCUCGUCCUUAGUUGCUAACAGUUCGGCUGAGCACUCUAGGGAGACUGCCUUCGCAAGGAGGAGGAAGGUGAGGACGACGUCAAGUCAUCAUGGCCCUUACGGCCAGGGCUACACACGUGCUACAAUGGGGCGUACAGAGAGCUGCGAUACCGCGAGGUGGAGCCAAUCUCUUAAAGCGUCUCUCAGUUCGGAUUGUUCUCUGCAACUCGAGAACAUGAAGCUGGAAUCACUAGUAAUCGCAGAUCAGCUAUGCUGCGGUGAAUACGUUCCCGGGUCUU